rnacentral:lncRNA from 10 species
CUUUCUCACCACCCACCUCACCCGGAAAUCCCCUGUCUCGAAAAGGCACUCUGUCACGUGUACACAGGAAAGGGCCCUGACAAGAGGAUGGGACUGCAGUUGUGGCUGCCAGAGUCUUGCUUUGUCGCCCAGGUUGGAGUGCAGUGGCACGAUCUCGGCUCAGUGCAACCUCCGCCUCCUGAGUUCAAGUGAUUCUCCUGCCUCAGCCUCCCUAGUAGCUGGGAUUACAGGACAAGGAGAGGGACAAAUUCCUUCUUGGCAUCCUUAUGGCCCUGUGACCUGCUAAUGAAUGCUGACUCUGAGUUGCUACUAGAAUUUGGUUUCCUUGUGGCUUCCCAGGAAUUGUGAGCCAUGUUGGAUAAGGACCUGCAAGGGAAGAAUGAGGAAGCCUGGGACAGUGCAGGAGGGGAGAGCACUGGUGGUAGAGAGGAGUGAUGACAAGGGUCUCCGCCAAAAGGGAAAUGGAGGGGUUAAAGAAGCUGCUGGGGAGGGUUAAAAACAAUGUGUUCUCACUCGUAGGUGGGAAUUGAACAAUGAGAACACUUGGACACAGGAAGGGGAACAUCACACGGUCUCACUCUGCUCACUCUGUCUCCCAAGCUGGAGUGCAGUGGUACAGUCACGGCUCACUGCAGCCUCCACUUCCUGGACUCAAGUGAUCUUCUCACUUCAGCCUUCUGAGUAGCUGGGACUACAGCCCCCUCUGCAGCUCUUCAUGGGGGUCCACUCAAGUCAGAAGCCACAUUUGGGUGUGAUUCAGAGAGCUGUUUAUGCAAAACCAGCUUUGUCACCAUCAGGCAAGGCACCUGAAUUCCCACCGCAGAGAGUGUUGUGGCCGUGAGGACUUUUCUGUCACCAGCCAUUUCCAGGUAGACCCAGUGUAAUCACAAGCAUCCUUGUAAGUGGCAAAGAGGCAGAGGAGACAGCGCCAGAGAGGCAGCUGCAUGAGAAGGAUCAAGAUGUUGCUGACUUUGAAGUUGGAAGAAGAAGGCCAUGAGCCUCAGUAUGUGGGCGGCUUCUAGAAGCUGGAAGGGGCAAGGAGAUGGAUUUGACCCUUCAGCCUCCAGGGGCAGCUGUACCUGCCAUCACUGAUUGUAGCCUGGUGAGGCCUGUUUUAGACUUCUGACCUGUAGAGCUGUAACAUAAUACAUUUGGGUUGUUUUCAACCACUAAGUUUGUGGUAAUUUGUUGUAGCAGCUGUAGAAAAUGAAUACAUAUGAAUCCUCUGGCAUUUGUUUGAGAUUUGCUCUAUGGCCUAGUAUGUGGUUGUAAAUGUUCCAUCUGUGCCUGAAAAAAUGUAUAUUUCUAAUUCAGUAGUCUCUGCUUUUUUUUUUUAUUUUGUACCCCAUCAAUAAAAUGAUUUUCAGCAUGUAUCCCCAAAUAAACAAUAUUUUAUUUAUUGAUUGAUUGAUAAACAGACAUGUUUAAUGAUAGCUUGCUUUUCACAGAGGUGACUUCGGAGACUUCUAAUCUAUAAUCCAGGAGUAUAUAACCAUG